UUUGAUAUUUCAUUAUUCAGUAUCUGGAUUUAAUAGACCCUUUGGCUAUCUUAUCUGCCUAAUUGCUGGCAGAUAUUGCUGCAACUUGAAUCAGUACUGACAGAAAUGUCCUGGGUUGAUCCAUAAUAAUCUCUUUUGAGACCAUUUCAUCACAGAAUCUUCCUAUUAUUCUGACUACUACCCGAACCAGUACCUGCCCGCCUCCGGCUCCUUUUCCUCUAUAGGCUUGCAUCCAGGCUCUGUGCAGUACACGGUGUUCCUAUACGCAUGCACAAGAGGAUCUGUUUCCUCUUUUUCCCAUCCCCUCUUCUUUACAUCUGGGAUUUUCCAUCUGGGACCCUGAGCCAGUCACGGCUAACUAUCCAGGUUAUUCAGUCCAUUUUUUCAGACUACUGCCCCCUAUUGGUUCCUGACGAAGCCCUUUCGGG